GGUGGUUGGAAUUUGGAAAGGAGAUAACAAACUUGGAAUGUCCUUUAUGAACUUGUUUUUCCUCACUUUCAUCAGGGAAGUUAUUUUCUUCUUUCGAAGGAACUUUUUUUCCUAGAGAAAAUGUUCUCCAAAAUAUUUUGACCUACCAAAUAUGGGAAAAUUAGAAAACCCUUUGUUGCUUUGCGAGAUUCAGGGGAUGUUAUGGUGGAAUAUGCAGGGAGCUUUUGCCCUGCAUUAUCACUUUCAAUAGUUUAAAAAGGUAUUUUGCAGGGUAAUUUAUUAAUUUUUAUUGCCUCCACUUUCCUUGUUAAGUGAUCAAGAAAAAACUCGUUUCCAUUUGUCACAGAUUAGUGGUUCCUUUUAUCCCCUUAUUCUUCCAAUCAAUGAGAGAAGAACGUACUUUUUCUUUUGGAUAGGUAAUGAGCGAACAACUUUCUUGCUAGGGAAGAUAUUGACUACCACUAGUUUAGAAAGAUUUAUGAAACACUUCUAUAGUUUGCUUGUGAUGUGACCCUCACUGGACCCUGAAUGGAUGCAGUGGACUGCCCUCUUUUUUUCUCUUCAUAAUUUGCUUGAUUUGUUUGACUGAGAUGAAACGGAACCUUACCCGAGAUUACUAAUUUCGAGCUAAAACAUGUAAUUUGUUCAUUGUCUAUUUGUAACAUUGAAGUUCAUUCUUGCAGGUGUAAGACAGGAAAGCACACAACAGAAAAACCAGUGAUUGCAACACCAUCUGCUACCAAAAAUAAAGCAGUUCCUGUGCCAGUGCGUGUGCCAGCUCCUAUGACCAAUGCAUCACCGAAAGAAGCCUGUUCUAGAUGCCACCAGGGAUUCUUUUGUUCUGAUCAUGGUAAGUCUUCCAUUUUCUAACUUCAUCUAACAUUAUACUUUGGAAGACUAGGACAAUUCUAGACUUCUAGUUGAGUUUAGCAAAAUUGAAAAAUAGCAGGGGAGGCUGUUCAUUCUAUAGAUGCUGAACUCAACCUUCCCAGUUGUGACUUCCUAGUAGGUUAAUAACGAGGAAAAAGUGUGUUUUCAUUUUCACUCUGCCUUUUUCUACUCCCAUUUAGAGACUCUUUUGCUUGUAGAGCCUACUCUGAUCAGUUCUUGUGCUAUCAUGUUUCAUUUAAGGUUCACGACCCAGAGAAGCAAUUCCAAAAGCAUCAAAUACAGUAACAUCUCUACCUUCUGAGAGCAAUACAGUUGUACAGCAAGACCAUCCAGCUCCAGUGAAAAAGAAAAUUGAUAUAAAUGAGCCCCAAAUUUGUAAAAACAAGAGCUGCGGUAAGACCUUUACAGAAAAGGAAAAUCACGACACUGCUUGUAAUUACCAUCCCGGCCCCGCUAUCUUCCAUGACCGGAUGAAAGGAUGGAAAUGCUGUGAUGUUCAUGUCAAAGAAUUUGACGAGUUCAUGACCAUACCUCCAUGCACCAAAGGAUGGCACAACAGUGACCCAGUGUCCUAAUAGACAGGUUCAUGAAUGAGCCACACAUGACUUGUUUGUUGCAUCAUUCAUCGAUCAACUGUUGUUGCUUCUCUGGACAUUGACAUAACUUUACUUUCGGUCCAUCUGCAACUAGUUCUUUGUGUCUGUAAGGUAGACACCUGAGACGAACAAUCUAUAACGUCUGAAUUUUUUGAUAGACAAAUCGGAGAAAUAGCUCAGUCAAUACAUUGUUGAGAUUGUUAUGACCCUCUUUAGCCCUUUGUCAUUCGUUACUGGGUAUCAUUUUCCUUCUGACUAUGUUACUUGACUCUUAGAAAAUGUUAAUGUGUGUCGGAUACUCUAAAAGUUUGUUAGUCGGGAUUUUAUUGCACACUAUUCUCUCUUGUUAAUAAUAUUGCGUUGGAUGAGGUAACAUGUGGAAAUUGAGAACUCUUCAAAAAGUGUGUUAAGUUUUGCUUACACUAGCAAUAUGCCACACUUCGAAUUUGAAUGAUCUAUUCCAACUAGAAAUAACUUUUUUAACUUUUAAGAAUUUUCAUUUUCUUUUUAAUGAAAUGAUCGUAAUCUAGUUUGCAAUAUUAUGUAUCUUUUUAAAUUUUGGUGGCCGUCAAGGUACAUUUAGAUACACGUAACUUAGGAUACACAUGGUCAAAAUUAGUGUAAUUUGUUCAGGAUACACGGUGUUUAAGCGGAUUCACAUGUAUUUGAGAUACAUAAUAAAUUUUCGUUCAACGCUUUUCUAUGUAUCUGGUAUCCUUGAUACAUACAUAGAUUUUGCAUGUAUUCGGAACAAAUAACAAACCUCGCUCGACACUCUUUUAUAAAUCUAGUAUGUCGGAUACA
rnacentral:lncRNA from 1 species